rnacentral:rRNA from 1 species
GAUCCUGGCUCAGGACGAACGCUGGCGGCGUGCUUAACACAUGCAAGUCGAACGGGGAAUUGUGCUUCGGCAGAAUUCCUAGUGGCGAACGGGUGAGUAACGCGUAGGCAACCUGCCCUUCAGACGGGGACAACAUUCCGAAAGGGGUGCUAAUACCGGAUACGAAGCUUCUGCCGCAUGACGGAAGCUUGAAAGGCGCUUUCAAGCGCCGCUGAAGGAUGGGCCUGCGUCCGAUUAGCUUGUUG